rnacentral:rRNA from 1 species
GCGUAAUAGCUCACUGGUCGAGUCGGCCUGCGCGGAAGAUGUAACGGGGCUAAACCAUGCACCGAAGCUGCGGCAGCGACGCUAUGCGUUGUUGGGUAGGGGAGCGUUCUGUAAGCCUGUGAAGGUGUGCUGUGAGGCAUGCUGGAGGUAUCAGAAGUGCGAAUGCUGACAUAAGUAACGAUAAAGCGGGUGAAAAGCCCGCUCGCCGGAAGACCAAGGGUUCCUGUCCAACGUUAAUCGGGGCAGGGUGAGUCGACCCCUAAGGC